GGAGUUAGCCGGUGCUUCUUCUGUGAGUGAUGUCCUUCCUGCCGGCUAUUAACCCGCAGGCCUUCUUCCUCACUGAAAGUGCUUUACAACCCGAAGGCCUUCUUCACACACGCGGCAUGGCUGGAUCAGGGUUGCCCCCAUUGUCCAAUAUUCCCCACUGCUGCCUCCCGUAGGAGUCUGGGCCGUGUCUCAGUCCCAGUGUGGCUGAUCAUCCUCUCAGACCAGCUACGGAUCGUCGCCUUGGUGAGCCGUUACCUCACCAACCAGCUAAUCCGACAUAGGCUCAUCCGAUAGCGCGAGGCCCGAAGGUCCCCCGCUUUCCCCCGUAGGGCGUAUGCGGUAUUAGCCUGGGUUUCCCCAGGUUAUCCCCCACUACCGGGCAGAUUCCUAUGCAUUACUCACCCGUCCGCCGCUCGCCACCAGGGAGCAAGCUCCCCGUGCUGCCGAUCGACUUGCAUGUGUUAGGCCUGCCGCCAGCGUUCAAUCUGAGCAGANACAACUACUGA
rnacentral:rRNA from 1 species